rnacentral:rRNA from 1 species
UGGGGAAUAUUGCACAAUGGGGGAAACCCUGAUGCAGCAACGCCGCGUGAAGGAAGAAGGGUUUCGGCUCGUAAACUUCUAUCGAUAGGGACGAAAGAGAUGACGGUACCUAAAUAAGAAGCCCCGGCUAACUACGUGCCAGCAGCCGCGGUAAUACGUAGGGGGCAAGCGUUAUCCGGAAUUACUGGGUGUAAAGGGAGCGUAGGCGGCAAGGUAAGUAAGAUGUGAAAGCCCGCAGCUUAACUGCGAGGAUUGCAUUUUAAACUAUCUAGCUUGAGUACAGGAGAGGUAAGCGGAAUUCCU